UACGUAGGGGACAAGCGUUGUCCGGAUUUAUUGGGCGUAAAGCGCUCGCAGGUGGUUCGAUGCGUCGUGCGUGAAAGACCCCGGCUCAACUGGGGGGGGUCGUGCGAUACGGUCGAACUGGAGGCCAGUAGGGGGAUGCGGAAUUCCGGGUGUAGUGGUGGAAUGCGUAGAGAUCCGGAGGAACACCAGCGGCGAAGGCGGCAUCCUGGACUGGUCCUGACACUCAGGAGCGAAAGCGUGGGGAGCGAUCCGG
rnacentral:rRNA from 1 species